rnacentral:lncRNA from 1 species
UCAUUCCACCAGCUGCCAGCUAAUCCGACGAACUCCAUCGCCGGUAAAGGCAGUCAUUCCACCAGCUGCCAGCUAAUCCGACGAACUCCAUCGCCGGUAAAAGCAGUAGCGGUCUCGUCAUUCUUCUUCUCCUUCCCUCCACCCGAAGAACUUUCUCCCACACGAAGCGGCGAGGAAAUCAAACUUGCCCACUUCUUUCUAACGCCCUGCUAAUACCAGCCCCACGAAUUUCUCAAGGAAAUUAAAACAAAAAGGAAUAAAAAUAGCGGUAAAAUGAGCUGA